UUACACGUCAUUUUGGAAUUUUACAUUGAAAAUUUUUUAUCUAAAACAGUUUCCGAAAACACUCUGAAUUAACAGAUGCUCUUUUACUCGACGAAAAUAAUAUUUCAAAAACGAAGCAGAAACUUUUGAAUACGUGAAAUCGAAUAUUACUUAACCCUCAAUCGGACGUUUAAAGAAAGCAUCGCAUUUAUGACGAUUGUUUCCAAUACAUUGGAGAGUGUAAUGUUGAGCCACCAAUCACGCAAUGUACUCAAUGCGGCAGUUUCGACAUUAGCAAAAUAUUCUUUGAAUAUUGUACUCGAUCUACGCGUUAAAAGAGGAUAAGAUUUUGUAUAAUGUAUAUGGUUCUGGAUAUCAACAUUUGGUACAAACUGUGCCAUUAGAAGCCCAUUAUAUAAUGCUCUGACGGUAUCCCAGCAUCCUCAGGACUUGGAAGAUCUUUUUACAAAUGGUUUUGACUGGAAACGUCAAGGUACUGGCUUCAUAAAUAAUAACAACGCGCUGAAGCCAACAGCAACUCUAGACGCACCGGAAAAAGCAUUCGUCCAAAACUUAUGUACAUCUAUUGAAUGUUGAGUACCAUCGAUUAUAUUAUAAUAACACGGAUUCCUUGAAAAAUUGGAUUUGUUACACCUGGCAUUUUAAUAUGUAUACUUUGGAAAAAGGGUUCUUCUUUCGAUCGCUCUCGUACAGUAAUGGG